rnacentral:lncRNA from 1 species
AUGAGACCUUUGUGCUGUUUACUAAAUGUCAAUCUCCUCAUCUUUGAAUUCUACGCCUUUUCGCCAUUGUUCUGCGAACUUCGUCGAUGUGCAAUAACGAAAUUAAUUCGCUGCCCACGGUCCGGCACAUCUCUCAUUGGCCACGACGGAGCCCACUAGGAAUUUAAAGGGUGGUAGAAGGCCGCAUCGCGCCACGUAGUGUAGUUUUCUCACCUGUUUGACCAUUACCGAGCUGGCCUGCUCUUAAUCUUAAAAAGUAGCUGCAUUAGAACCGAGAGGAUGGCAUUUUUGUACGUGGUGUAUGCAAUCGUUCUACAUUUAUGCUUGACUUGUGCGGCAGAGACGGAUGGAAAAGUGACAAAGAAGGCUCAAGUGGGUGAGCCUUGUGAUGGAAACGAGGAUUGUGGGGAGGGAUGCUGCUAUCGCCCCGGUCCCGACAAUGGCACAGUGUGCGGAAAUCUAGGUAACGAUGGUGACGAAUGUUCCAAUGUCACUCUUAAAGAACAUACCACGACACCCGCCCUACCUUCCUGUCGGGAAGAUGAGGACGCCGCGGGAUCAACGGCCACAACCAAAAAGCCUCACUCACCUCCUUAUGAUGGAAAAUGUCCUUGCAAAAGUGGUCUUACUUGUGACUACAGUGAAGUGAAACAAAGGAGCCUUAGUGAGGAUGGAGGUUCGAGUGGAAAUGAAGAUAAAGUACAACUCGGAAAAUGUAAAUCUUCAACAACUCUUCAGGAGAACAAAGAAGAAAGCGCGGAUAGUUAACGGAUGACGAAAAUUACCUAAAUGGAAUUGCGAGUCAUCUACAGAAAAAAAAAUACAAUAAAUCCUUUUCUACUCAGUA